UGGAAAGUUGCUGGGUAGUAUGGAAAGUUUAAUUUUUUAGAAUUCUACCAAACUGUUUCCAAAAUAGCUGUAUGAUUUUAUAUUUCCACCAGCAAU
rnacentral:pre_miRNA from 1 species